rnacentral:rRNA from 1 species
UACGAGGGGUGCAAGCGUUGCUCGGAAUUAUUGGGCGUAAAGGGUAGGUAGGUGGUCUCAUUUGUCUGGGGUGAAAGCCUUGAGCUUAACUCAAGAAGUGCCCCGGAAACGGUGAGACUAGAGUCCUGGAGAGGGUCGUGGAAUUCCCGGUGUAGCGGUGAAAUGCGUAGAGAUCGGGAGGAACACCAGAGGCGAAGGCGGCGACCUGGACAGGUACUGACACUCAACUACGAAAGCGUGGGGAGCAAACAGG